CGGCGGCUGAACUUGACCAAAGGAUGGCGCGUCUGGUGUCCAUGCUCUUGCGUGCUGCUCGUGACUCAUUCCCCGCAUGGCCGCAUCUCGCGCCGCCCGAUCUGCGGCCGCUGGCGCAGGUCUAGUCCAUCGCAGUUGCCCCAUCGCGGCGUUUCGCCCCCAGAGGAGGGGCUUUGCGGGACAAGAUGCUUCUUCGGAGCAUCCCCAGAGGGGCUGUGCUGCAGAAGAUGCGUCUUCGGAGCAUAUGUUGGUUAGACGCUCCCCUCACGCCGAUCCCCGCCUCCCCUUGUUCCACGUCCACGGAGUCGAAUCCUCCUUAGAACAGCACUAUAAUGACGAGUUUGUGGCAACAGAGAAGGAUAUGGAAUCAUCUGAAGCUAUGUGGGCCUUGUAUGUGCGCUGGUGCGAAUAUUUUAAAGAGAAGCGUGACCAUGAUGAGAUGGUUCGUCUCUUCCCCAAUUUCCAGAAGACUGUACGUCGAGUGCAUGAAGUGAAGAAUUCUAAUCUUCCUUAUAGGUUGGAGAUAAGUGAAUAUGCAGAUAUGAAAGCACUAGAGCAUACUAAGAGAUUAACAGACGAAGAUUUCGAGCGGUACAAAGCCCAGGGCUUGCUGGAUGAAUCUCACUUAGAAUGAGGAAAGGGUUCAUCAGUACCACCACUCCUAAGGCUAUGCUUGUUUAUUGGUCUUAAUAAUGUCACCAAUCCUUCACUUAGAAUGAGGAAAGGGUUCAUCAGUACCACCACUCCUAAGGCUAUGCUUGUUUAUUGGUCUUAAUAAUGUCACCAAUCCUUCACUUAGAAUGAGGAAAGGGUUCAUCAGUACCACCACUCCUAAGGCUAUGCUUGUUUAUCGGUCUUAAUAAUGUCACCAAUCCUCUACUCCUUUUACAACUGAAGGCUAUCAGUGCCUAGGACUUUUGUGAUGCUUGAGUCAGUUGUUAGUUCUGUAUAAGUAUUGUACGUGAAGUUCUGCAGACCUAUUGAUGACUAUGAAAGGUUUUAGUUUGUAUCCAUCGAUAUCUGAAAAGUGUUGAUGAUCAGAA